rnacentral:rRNA from 1 species
GAUGAACGCUGGCGGCGUGCCUAACACAUGCAAGUCGAACGAACAGACCAUGAUUUUGUUCGUUUGUCGAUUGCGGAGGACGUGAGUGUAACGCGUGUAUCAUGUACUUAUCUUUCUGGUAUAACCACGAAAAUGGGGAGAUUAUCAGAUAUAAUAUACUGAACCGUAUGGGUCAAUAGUGAAUGACGGCUUUGGUGUCUCGACUAGCUGCUUCUGAGCUGGAUUAGGUAGUUGGUAAGGUAACGGGCUUCCAGGGCGACGAUGCGUAGCCGACCUGAGAGGCUGAUCGGCCACACGGGAACGGAGACACGGUCCAGACUCCUACGGGAGGCAGCAGUAGGGAAUCUUCCGCAAUGGGCGAAAGCCUGACGGAGCGACGCCGCGUGAGUGAUGAAGGUCUUCGGAUCGUAAAGCUCUGUUAUUAGGGAAGAACAAAUGUGUAAGUAACUAUGCACGUCUUGACGGUACCUAAUAAGAAAGCCCCGGCUAACUACGUG